rnacentral:rRNA from 1 species
GUGGGGAAUAUUGGACAAUGGGCGCAAGCCUGAUCCAGCCAUGCCGCGUGAACGAUGAAGGCCUUCGGGUUGUAAAGUUCUUUAGCCGAUGAUUAUAAUGACUGUAGUCGGAAAAUAAGCCCCGGCUAACUUCGUGCCAGCAGCCGCGGUAAUACGAAGGGGGCGAGCGUUAUUCGGAAUCACUGGGCGUAAAGCGUGCGUAGGCGGUUUUGUAAGUUAGGAGUGAAAGCCCAGGGCUCAACCUUGGAAUUGCUCUUAAAACUGCAAGGCUCGAAUCUCGGAGAGGAUAGCGGAAUUUCCAGUGUAGCAGUGAAAUGCGUAGAUAUUGGAAGGAACACCAGUGGCGUAAGCGGCUAUCUGGACGAGUAUUGACGCUGAGGCACGAAAGCGUGGGGAUCAAACAGGAUUAGAAACCCUGGUAGUCC